CUCCUACGGGAGGCAGCAGUGGGGAAUAUUGGACAAUGGGCGAAAGCCUGAUCCAGCAAUGCCGCGUGAGUGAAGAAGGCCUUAGGGUUGUAAAGCUCUUUCACCCGCGACGAUGAUGACGGUAGCGGGAGAAGAAGCCCCGGCUAAUUCCGUGCCAGCAGCCGCGGUAAUACGGAAGGGGCUAGCGUUGUUCGGAAUCACUGGGCGUAAAGCGCGCGUAGGCGGCCGGUCAAGUGCGGCGUGAAAGUCCUGGGCUCAACCCGGGGACGGCGCUGCGGACUGUCCGGCUGGAGUCCGGAAGAGGGUGGUGGAAUUCCGAGUGUAGAGGUGAAAUUCGUAGAUAUUCGGAGGAACACCGGUGGCGAAGGCGGCCACCUGGUCCGGUACUGACGCUCAAGCGCGAAAGCGUGGGGAGCAAACAGGAUUAGAUACCCUGGUAGUCCACGCCGUAAACGAUGGGUGCUAGAUGUCGGGGGGCUUGCCCUUCGGUGUCGUAGCUAACGCGUUAAGCACCCCGCCUGGGGAGUACGGCCGCAAGGUUAAAACUCAAAGGAAUUGACGG
rnacentral:rRNA from 1 species